rnacentral:rRNA from 1 species
GAUGAACGCUGGCGGCGUGCCUAAUACAUGCAAGUCGAGCGAACCACUUCGGUGGUGAGCGGCGAACGGGUGAGUAACACGUAGGUGAUCUGCCCAUCAGACGGGGACAACGAUUGGAAACGAUCGCUAAUACCGGAUAGGACGAAAGUUUAAAGGUGCUUCUGGCACCGCUGAUGGAUGAGCCUGCGGCGCAUUAGCUAGUUGGUAGGGUAAAGGCCUACCAAGGCGACGAUGCGUAGCCGACCUGAGAGGGUGAACGGCCACACUGGGACUGAGACACGGCCCAGACUCCUACGGGAGGCAGUAGUAGGGAAUCUUCGGCAAUGGGCGAAAGCCUGACCGAGCAACGCCGCGUGAAUGAUGAAGGCCUUCGGGUUGUAAAAUUCUGUUAUAAGGGAAGAACGACUUUAGUAGGAAAUGGCUGGAGUGUGACGGUACCUUAUGAGAAAGCCACGGCUAACUACGUGCCAGCAGCCGCCGUAA